rnacentral:rRNA from 1 species
AGAGUUUGAUCCUGGCUCAGAAUGAACGCUGGCGGCGUGCCUAACACAUGCAAGUCGCGCGCGAACGGGGCUUCGGCUCCUAGUAGAGCGGCGAACGGGUGAGUAACACGUGGAUAACCUGCCUGAAAGUGGGGGAUAACCUGGGGAAACUCGGGCUAAUACCGCAUACGUUUCCGGGGUUUCGGCCCCGGAAGGAAAGCCGGCCUCUGCUUGCAAGCUGGCGCUUUCAGAGGGGUCCGCGUCCGAUUAGCUAGUUGGCGGGGUAAUGGCCCACCAAGGCGACGAUCGGUAGCCGGCCUGAGAGGGUGAUCGGCCACACUGGAACUGAGACACGGUCCAGACUCCUACGGGAGGCAGCAGUGGGGAAUAUUGGACAAUGGGGGAAACCCUGAUCCAGCAACGCCGCGUGGGGGAUGAAGGUCUUCGGAUUGUAAACCCCUGUUGGGAGGAACGAAGGCUUUCGGGCGAACAGUCCGGAAGCUUGACG